GAUGAAGAACGCAGCGAAAUGCGAUAAGUAAUGUGAAUUGCAGAAUUCAGUGAAUCAUCGAAUCUUUGAACGCACAUUGCGCCCGCCAGUAUUCUGGCGGGCAUGCCUGUUCGAGCGUCAUUUCAACCCUCAAGCUCUGCUUGGUGUUGGGGACCGGCCGCAGCCUCAGUGCUCUGCCGCCCCCUAAAUACAGUGGCGGUCCCGCCGCAGCCUCCUUUGCGUAGUAGUAAACCACCUCGCACAUGGAACGCAGCGUGACCACGCCGUUAAACCCCCAACUUUCUGAAGUUUGACCUCGGAUCAGGUAGGAAUACCCGCUGAACUUAGGCAUAUCAAUAAGCGGAGGA
rnacentral:misc_RNA from 1 species